rnacentral:rRNA from 1 species
UACGUAGGGGGCUAGCGUUGUCCGGAAUCAUUGGGCGUAAAGAGCGUGUAGGCGGCCCGGUAAGUCCGCUGUGAAAGUCGGGGGCUCAACCCUCGAAUGCCGGUGGAUACUGUCGGGCUAGAGUGCGGAAGAGGCGAGUGGAAUUCCUGGUGUAGCGGUGAAAUGCGCAGAUAUCAGGAGGAACACCGGUGGCGAAGGCGGGUCUCUGGGCCGAUACUGACGCUGAGGAGCGAAAGCCAGGGGAGCAAACGGG